GCGGGCGUGGCUCAAUGGUAGAGCGCAAGCCUUCCAAGCUUGACACGCGGGUUCGAUUCCCGCCGCCCGCUCCA
rnacentral:tRNA from 1 species